rnacentral:tRNA from 1 species
GUCGAGGUAGCCUAGCCUGGUAAGGCGCAGGUUUGCUAAACCUGUGUCCCCUCGGGACUCGUGGGUUCGAAUCCCACCCUCGGCG